rnacentral:misc_RNA from 1 species
UUUGUUUUUUMAUUAAAAACUAGAAWGAAAGGUYAUACMYUKRAAUUUCYUUAUUAAUUUUUUAUAUAWAAUUUMUAUYAAAUAURAAAAUAUAUUUCUUAAAUAAAAAGACCAURAGACCCUAUUAAAUUUUACUUAUAGUUUAMMYGGGGAAGUUUUAAAAAUAAAAUUUUUUAUAAAAAUAAAAAUAAAUCUAAUAAAAUUAAAAUUAAAUUAAAUUACUAUAGGGAUAACASCAYUAUAUUUUUUAAAAGUUCAUAUUAAAAAAAAUGMKUGUGACCUCGAUGKUGAAUUAUAUUUUCUUUAYWAAUGCAAUAAUUAUAAAAGUAGAUCUGUUCGAUCUUUAAAAUAUUACAUGAUUUGAGUUCAAACCGGCAAUAAACCAGGUKGGKUUCUAUCUUUUUAUWAAUAUAUAUAUAUAUAUAUAUAUAUAUAAAUUUUUCAAGUACGAAAGGAAAAAAAAAUUUUUAUUUUAAUUAAUUAGCAAUUAAUAUGCAUUAGAUUUAGAAUCUAAAUAAACUAUUAUU